UGACUGCGUACCUUUUGUAUAAUGGGUCAGCGACUUAUAUUCUGUAGCAAGGUUAACCGAAUAGGGGAGCCGGAGGGAAACCGAGUCUUAAUUGGGCGUUAAGUUGCAGGGUAUAGACCCGAAACCCGGUGAUCUAGCCAUGGGCAGGUUGAAGGUUGGGUAACACUAACUGGAGGACCGAACCGACUAAUGUUGAAAAAUUAGCGGAUGACCUGUGGCUGGGGGUGAAAGGCCAAUCAAACCGGGAGAUAGCUGGUUCUCCCCGAAAGCUAUUUAGGUAGCGCCUCGUGAAUUCAUCUCCGGGGGUAGAGCACUGUUUCGGCUAGGGGGCCAUCCCGGCUUACCAACCCGAUGCAAACUGCGAAUACCGGAGAAUGUUAUCACGGGAGACACACGGCGGGUGCUAACGUCCGUCGUGAAGAGGGAAACAACCCAGACCGCCAGCUAAGGUCCCAAAGUCAUGGUUAAGUGGGAAACGAUGUGGGAAGGCCCAGACAGCCAGGAUGUUGGCUUAGAAGCAGCCAUCAUUUAAAGAAAGCGUAAUAGCUCACUGGUCGAGUCGGCCUGCGCGGAAGAUGUAACGGGGCUAAACCAUGCACCGAAGCUGCGGCAGCGACACUAUGUGUUGUUGGGUAGGGGAGCGUUCUGUAAGCCUGCGAAGGUGGCCUGUGAGGGUUGCUGGAGGUAUCAGAAGUGCGAAUGCUGACAUAAGUAACGAUAAAGCGGGUGAAAAGCCCGCUCGCCGGAAGACCAAGGGUUCCUGUCCAACGUUAAUCGGGGCAGGGUGAGUCGACCCCUAAGGCGAGGCCGAAAGGCGUAGUCGAUGGGAAACGGGUUAAUAUUCCCGUACUUGGUGUUACUGCGAAGGGGGGACGGAGAAGGCUAUGUUGGCCGGGCGACGGUUGUCCCGGUUUAAGCGUGUAGGUGUGUGUUCCAGGUAAAUCCGGUUCACUUUAACACUGAGGCGUGACGACGAGGCACUACGGUGCUGAAGCAACAAAUGCCCUGCUUCCAGGAAAAGCCUCUAAGCAUCAGGUAACAUCAAAUCGUACCCCAAACCGACACAGGUGGUCAGGUAGAGAAUACCAAGGCGCUUGAGAGAACUCGGGUGAAGGAACUAGGCAAAAUGGUGCCGUAACUUCGGGAGAAGGCACGCUGACACGUAGGUGAAGUGAUUUACUCACGGAGCUGAAGUCAGUCGAAGAUACCAGCUGGCUGCAACUGUUUAUUAAAAACACAGCACUGUGCAAACACGAAAGUGGACGUAUACGGUGUGACGCCUGCCCGGUGCCGGAAGGUUAAUUGAUGGGGUCAGCGCAAGCGAAGCUCCUGAUCGAAGCCCCGGUAAACGGCGGCCGUAACUAUAACGGUCCUAAGGUAGCGAAAUUCCUUGUCGGGUAAGUUCCGACCUGCACGAAUGGCGUAAUGAUGGCCAGGCUGUCUCCACCCGAGACUCAGUGAAAUUGAACUCGCUGUGAAGAUGCAGUGUACCCGCGGCAAGACGGAAAGACCCCGUGAACCUUUACUAUAGCUUGACACUGAACAUUGAGCCUUGAUGUGUAGGAUAGGUGGGAGGCUUUGAAGCGUGGACGCCAGUCUGCGUGGAGCCGACCUUGAAAUACCACCCUUUAAUGUUUGAUGUUCUAACGUGGACCCGUGAUCCGGGUUGCGGACAGUGUCUGGUGGGUAGUUUGACUGGGGCGGUCUCCUCCUAAAGAGUAACGGAGGAGCACGAAGGUUGGCUAAUCCUGGUCGGACAUCAGGAGGUUAGUGCAAUGGCAUAAGCCAGCUUGACUGCGAGCGUGACGGCGCGAGCAGGUGCGAAAGCAGGUCAUAGUGAUCCGGUGGUUCUGAAUGGAAGGGCCAUCGCUCAACGGAUAAAAGGUACUCCGGGGAUAACAGGCUGAUACCGCCCAAGAGUUCAUAUCGACGGCGGUGUUUGGCACCUCGAUGUCGGCUCAUCACAUCCUGGGGCUGAAGUAGGUCCCAAGGGUAUGGCUGUUCGCCAUUUAAAGUGGUACGCGAGCUGGGUUUAGAACGUCGUGAGACAGUUCGGUCCCUAUCUGCCGUGGGCGCUGGAGAACUGAGGGGGGCUGCUCCUAGUACGAGAGGACCGGAGUGGACGCAUCACUGGUGUUCGGGUUGUCAUGCCAAUGGCACUGCCCGGUAGCUAAAUGCGGAAGAGAUAAGUGCUGAAAGCAUCUAAGCACGAAACUUGCCCCGAGAUGAGUUCUCCCUGAGACUUUAGGUCUCCUGAAGGAACGUUGAAGACGACGACGUUGAUAGGCCGGGUGUGUAAGCGCAGCGAUGCGUUGAGCUAACCGGUACUAAUGAACCGUGAGGCUUAACCUUAC
rnacentral:rRNA from 1 species